rnacentral:misc_RNA from 1 species
UACGUCAAUCCUAGAAACCAACAAAAUAGGAUCGAACGUCCUAUUUCAUUAUUCCAUGCUAAUGUAUUCAAGCGUUAGCUUGCUUUAAACACUCUAAUUUUUUCAAAGUAACAGUCCAAAUUCCCCGCAACACCAAAUUAAUGGCAUUACGGCUCAUCAGGAAGGAGGAAUCAGUGAGACCAGUACAUACCGGAGGCAUGACCAACC